GCAGAAGAGGAAACUGAGACAAGCAGAUGGUAAGAAAUUCACCCAGCAUUGCCCACUUAGUGUGGAGCAGAGCUGGGAUUUGAACAUGCAUGCUUUGUCCUUGGAGCUUCUACUCUUGGUCUUGAUGCUUGGGGCCUCCAGGAUGCCUACAGUAUAGAAGAGACUCGUUCUGAAAUCCCUCCAACUCCUUGAGCCAUUGAUUUCUCAUUGACCAAGCAUGAUGGAAAAAAGCAAGCACACAUGCUCAUAGGCGGAAGGGACUUGCCUUGUCUUGGAUGAGACUUGAGACUGUGGACUUUUGAGUUAAUGCUGAAGACGGGACUUGCUCCUCUCUGCCUUCUGCCAUGAUUGUGAGGCCUUCCCAGCCAAGUAGAACUGCUAUUUGCUUUUGAGCUACUCCGGGAGAGGAGCAGAGUCGGUUUGAGUUGCAUGACUGACAUCUUCUGGCUACAGUGGAUAUUACAGAAAGACUGAAACUCCGCAAAAGUGUGUUUGAAAAAAAGAAAAGCACCCUGGAAUUUGGAUCAUUAAGUUAUACUGAUUCUUCAACUAAAACUUUCUUGGGACUUGUAAUACGAAGUAUCGUAAACAAGGUCAUGCACCACUAAUAAAAGAAAUAUUAUUCGCUUAUUACUCAGAAUGCCUUGGGCUGUCUUUCUGCAUGCAAUCCACUUAAUAAGUAACCCAAUAGCAGACAAGUUCAGGAGAAGGUGCAGGCCUGUCCAGCCAGCAGAGGAAGAGUCAGCUGCCUCCACGACUACACUCCAAAUGGACAUAUUUCAUAUUCUCCCCAUACAGACUGCAUGGCUUGGGUCUACCUGGAAACACCUUAGAAUAGAGAUCUCCCCUCCAUUCCUGGGUUCCUUGGAAACAUGAAGCUACACUCACCACCAACCAUCUGUUCCCAUGUUAAAUAUAAAAUGGAGAAGAAAUUGUCUAUUUUGAAGGGAAGAGAGAGCCAUCAUCUUUUACAAGUGCCAGAGGUAGUUUUGCUUAGUGCUUCCAAGUCCUUUGUAGGCUGAGCACUGAAGUGAAGAGGAUAUGGGCAGGAGCUGCCUAAGAAGAGGAGAUGAAAGAAAGCAGAAGUCCACUAGUGAGGUCUCUAUAAUGCCUCGGUAUCUCCUGCCACAAUCCACAGGCUGCCCUGGGCUCUGGGUCAUCUCUAAAGAUAAAAUUAGUCAUUGUAUGCUGGCACUGAUAUUACAUGUGUUGCAUACAUAGUCUCUAAAUCAUACACUAACCCUAAGAAAUAGGUGUCACCAUUCCCUUCUA
rnacentral:lncRNA from 10 species